rnacentral:rRNA from 1 species
GAUGAACGCUGGCGGCGUGCCUAAUACAUGCAAGUCGAGCGAACAGACGAGGAGCUUGCUCCUUCGACGUUAGCGGCGGACGGGUGAGUAACACGUAGGUAACCUACCUAUAAGACUGGGAUAACUUCGGGAAACCGGAGCUAAUACCGGAUAAUAUUUCGAACCGCAUGGUUCGAUAGUGAAAGAUGGCUUUGCUAUCACUUAUAGAUGGACCUGCGCCGUAUUAGCUAGUUGGUAAGGUAACGGCUUACCAAGGCAACGAUACGUAGCCGACCUGAGAGGGUGAUCGGCCACACUGGAACUGAGACACGGUCCAGACUCCUACGGGAGGCAGCAGUAGGGAAUCUUCCGCAAUGGGCGAACGCCUGACGGAGCAACGCCGCGUGAGUGAUGAAGGUCUUCGGAUCGUAAAACUCUGUUAUUAGGGAAGAACAAACGUGUAAGUAACUGUGCACGUCUUGACGGUACCUAAUCAGAAAGCCACGGCUAACUACGUG